CUCUCAGCGAGAUCGAUGCACAAGGCUUCAAAAUCAAGGGGGUUGGUGAGCAAUGGCCAUGGAAUAAUAGCCUGGAUAUGGCAGAAGAGAAUGAUGAACCCCACCUCUUUCAUGCCCUGUGAAAUUGAAAAGAUCCUGAAUCCCAGCAAAACAGAUGAUGUCAACAGUUUGAAGACCCCCACAGAGGAACGGAAUCAGUAUGAGAAUCCAGUUUAUUCACCUCCCUGUCCCAUGACUUUACCCUACACUCUUUAACCAAUCAACAAUCUCCACACUUCAGCCCCACUCCAAAACUCUUAAAACCCUAGCCAAAAACUCCUUCAGGAGAUGGAUUUGAGGUUUCCUCUCAUCUCCUGGUUUGGCAGCCCUACGAUUAAACCUCUUUCUCUGCUGCAA
rnacentral:lncRNA from 10 species